AGAAAGUUUGUAGUUUUAAAUGGUUUGCUUUGAAUUUUGUUUCACGCUCGAUGGAUUGUACCUAAAUCGUAUCAAUGGAAAAUUUCACGGCGCAUAAAUUAUUGUUUUGUAUCUUGACAUGUUGGUAAAGUAAGAUGUCAAAUGCACAACGCGAUACUAUCGUCCCUCUCUCUUCAUCGGCUAUAACUGAAGUAUAAAGACGCCAUCAUUUCCAUUUCACGAAAUUAGCCUGUUCAACAUGAAAUACAAUUUCAUGUCGGUUAAUUUCGUCCUGCUUUAAACUGGGGUCACAACGUUUAACAACGCGGCGAGUUUGUGCUAUGUAACUUAUUAAAUUGCUUUCAUGUGCAUGGAUAUAUUACUGCUAAUAAUGGAUUUGUUGCAAUGGUAAAUAAUCAGAGACGACAAUGAAGGGAAAUGCUGCAUUUGUGAAAAUUUUACUCUUUUUCUGCAAGUUCCAUCUGUAAAAUUCGAACAUAGCUAAACAACUUUUGUCACUGGACAUCCUGUUGGCAUCAAAGGAUGUCGUAGAAAUAAUUCAAGUAAAUGAAAAGGGGUGAGGAGAAAAAAGAUCGGGAUUGUUUGGCGACAAAGAGCCGAAGACAGAGAUAGAUAGAUGACGAAACGAAAAUCGAUAUAAGAGGUUAUCAACCGCGAUGUAAAAAAAGAUAUUCUUUCAGAGUUAAAAAUCGAAUAAAAAAGAAAAAGUAAAUAUAUACUUAUGUAAUAUAAUAAAACGAAAAGAUUGUAGUAGUUUUUAUAACUAACUUCAAUAAAAAAUAUACAAUAUAUAUACAACAUUCCAAAGAAUGUCGGAUGAUUUAUCUCGUAAUUUCAAACGUGACAUGAUAAAAAAUGACCAAAAACUGCUGAGACUAUACGUUUGAUAGCAAAAUGCUCGAGAUAUUGAGUAGCUGAAAUGAAAACCGAGUCAAGAUUAAAAUAUCUACGAAGAAAAAGAAAAUUUUGUUGUAAAGAAGCCAAGGCCGAAAUUUAUAUGAAAAAAGAUGAUGAAAAAAUUAUCAGAGACAUUAUAAAACUAUUGAAAGAUAUUCUCAGAAAAGAAAAAAAAAUAGUAGAAUAGUAAGAGAUAAAGAUGAUAAUAAAAAUAAAUGGAAGAAAUCGAGAGAAACCGAAAUCCUUAGAGAAAACGGAAAAAUCAAGAAAAAUCAGCUAGCUGUGAACACUUGGUGAGACUGUGAACUUUAAAAGGAAGAAAGUGCGGAGACGGGAAACGACUGCUGCACGGAAAAAUCCAGCUGCACUCUAGAGAUUAAGGAAAGGGGUUGAGAAGUUGAAAGAUUUAGGGUAACGGAAGGAAGGAAUUAAAGAAAAAAUAGAGUUAGACAAAAGUUUGCAUAAUAAGGAAGACAAAGAGAGAGAUAUGGCACUUUUCAUCGAGGAAAGAAAUACCAGUUUAAGAACAUAGAGAAGAGUCAGGAAGCAAAAGUUAGGAGAGAAAGGAGCAGCGAAAUCCCGAGGGAAUCCAGAAAAUCCGCCUGACGAGUUGCAGAGAAGACGUGAUGCGUUAGAAAAAAAAGAACAAGAUAGGAGAUGGAAAGUGUAAUAGUUAGACAGGAAAAGAAAGAAGAGACGAGACGCAGAGAAAAAGCAAACAGACCGCGUGAAACGCAAGCUAGGCUCGCAAUCGCAUCUUCAUUUUGCUAAUGAGCUUCUGGAGAUAUGCAUAAAACGCAUAAAGUAUGAGUAUACAUCACGUGUUCAAGCAAUUAUCAUUAUAAUUAUAUUGGUCGUAAUACUACAGAUCCGUUGUGAUGGAGGAAAUAAUCAAAUAUGUUUUAAACUGAAAUGUUUUAAUCUUUUAUAAUGAAUAGAUUAAAAAUGGUAUAAUAAUGAUGGAAAUGUUUUCUAAGAUAAUAUAUAAGAUAAAGAAAAAUUGAUCUCGUUUAGAUAAUGAUUGAUGAGAGAAUAGAAGAUGAAUUGUUUUUAAAAGAAAAAUUGAAAAUGAAAAUUUUUGUUGAAAAAUUGGGGUGAAGUUAGGAAAUUAUUUUUUUCAGGAGAUUUUAUGAAAAGAUUAUGAUAAUGAUGUAAUCUGGAUAAUAAGAAAUUCUUAGUGUUUUCAAAGAUUAAAAUUCUUUAUAGAAAAUUAUAAUAAAUUUAUAAAUUUAUAAAUUAAGAAAUUAAUAAAAUUAGAAAUUUAGAAAAUUGGAAGUAUAUUUAUCAAAGAUUUUAUCAGUCUCUGAGAUUAUAAUGAUUUUUCCUUCAGUUUUAAUUGCUCAGACAUUUUCAAAUGUAAAUCUUUUUGCUUAAUUCAAAAGGUUUUUUUAAAGGAUAGGCUUCUCCAUUUCCCAAAGGAUAUGGCUUACAUAUCUGAAAAUUUUAGCUGUUAUUAACUAUGAUUAGAGAGAUUUAUUUUGAUUUCAAUCUUAAAAUAGGACGUUAAUACGCUUCCUUGAAGAUCAUGUGUCGAGAGACCGAGAUUUUUCUUGCUGAAGAGGGACAUUAGCCCACUAAACAUUAAGGAGAAUUACGCUAAUGAAUAUCUAACUUGAAGCCUUAACGUUAAAGGGAAUUAUGCUAAUGAGCUUGGAGAGAGAGAGGAAAAGGAAAGGAUCUGUGCGUCUUGUUGUAUUAUCCACGAAAAUUCGAAAGAGGAACGAAGUCUUAAUUCGAGAGGAAUAAGGGAUAAAACAAAGAGAAGGAAAAGGAAGAGAUUCUCUUCAUCUUUUGGUUCUAGACUACUUCCUUCAUUUAUUACGUUGCAUUCUAUUUGUAUGAGAAAUUGUGAUUUUGUUGAUAAGGAAAUUGGUUCAGGGAUAAGCAAAGAAGUGUAAAUUUUCCGGAUUCGUGACACGAUAGAAGCGUUCGUUGGAUAUAUUAUAAAUUUUAUGGUUUCUUAGAUGAGGCCACGGAGUAAUGGAGUAUCUUUUGAUGAAAGUUCAAUCCCCUGUGCGCAACCUGGAAUAUAAUAAUAAUGCAGGAGCGAAAGCUUUUUCAUAUGGCAGAGAUGGAGUUUGUUUUCGAAAUACUCGCGAACAAAUUGAGAAGAAUAUUUUUAAAUAUUCAUAGACUUUUGUAGAAUCUUGUUGAUAUUUGUAGCAAAAAUAUUCCACACUUAUUCGAGUUCCAAAUAUUUGAAAUAAAAAUAUUCUACGGUUUCCUUAUUUUCUAGAUAUUUGUGAAAUUUCCUUAUUUCCUUUAUGUUUGCAGAAGAAAUAUUCUUUAUUUCCCUUACUACGUAUAUAUUUACAAAGUGAAAACAGCAUUCUUCUUUACUUUUCUUAUUUCAUUAAUUCUUAAGAAUUUCACACAAUUUAUGA